rnacentral:misc_RNA from 1 species
CGUAACAACAUCGCUAAAGAA